rnacentral:rRNA from 1 species
UACGUAGGGUGCAAGCGUUAAUCGGAAUUACUGGGCGUAAAGCGUGCGCAGGCGGUUCGCUAAGACCGAUGUGAAAUCCCCGGGCUUAACCUGGGAACUGCAUUGGUGACUGGCGGGGUAGAGUAUGGCAGAGGGGGGUAGAAUUCCACGUGUAGCAGUGAAAUGCGUAGAGAUGUGGAGGAAUACCGAUGGCGAAGGCAGCCCCCUGGGCCAAUACUGACGCUCAUGCACGAAAGCGUGGGGAGCAAACAGG